AUGGGGAAAGCUCUACCUUCAGAGGAGCUUUUCAGGUUGGUGACAACCCUUUGGGCCAUUUGGGGUGCAAGACGGAAGGUGAUUCAUGAGGAUAUUUUCAAAAGCCCGUUCGCUAUUAAUGUUUUCGUGAACACCUAUCUAGGGGAGAUCAAAGCCUUAUCACAUGAGAAGGAGCCUCGCAGAACUUCGGCCUCCAGGAGAACGGGGUGGAUAGCACCACCUGAGCUUUAUGUCAAGAUCAACGUGGAUGCAUCAGUAACAAGAGGGGAAACCCAUAGUUCUGUGGGUACAAUAUGCAGGAAUUUUGAAGGUGGAUUUUUAGGCGCCUCGGCUUUUGUGUUUCUGAAUCAGCAUGACCCAGCUACUCUGGAGGCGUUGGCGAUCAGGGAAGGACUAGCAUUAGCACAAGAUGUGACUCUACAACAUGUACAGCUAGCCUCAGAUUGCAAAGGUGUGGUAACAGAAAUCCAGACGGGAAGCAGGUCGAGCUAUGGAGCUAUUGUUCAAGAGAUCAAGAUGAAAGCCAAUUCUUUUCCCUCUUGUAAUAUAGUCCAUUAGUCUAGGAGCUCCAAUGUGGAUGCUCACAAUCUAGCGAAGCAUCCUUUAAGAUUAGGGCCUGGCCGCCAUGUUUGGUUAGGCGAGACCGACGACAUUUCUUUUGUCCCUGUAAACAUUGUGACGGUUUGA
rnacentral:rRNA from 1 species